rnacentral:rRNA from 1 species
CCUACGGGUGGCAGCAGUGAGGAAUAUUGGUCAAUGGGCGCGAGCCUGAACCAGCCAAGUCGCGUGAAGGAAGACUGCCCUACGGGUUGUAAACUUCUUUUAUAAAGGAAUAAAGUGAGGCACGCGUGCCUUUUUGUAUGUACUUUAUGAAUUAGGCUCGGCCAACUCCGUGCCAGCGGCCGCGGUAAUACGGAGGAUGCGAGCGUUAUCCGGAGUUAUUGGGGUUAAAGGGAGCGUAGAUGGGGUGUUAAGUCAGUUGUGAAAGUUUGCGGCUCAACCGUAAAAUUGCUAUUGAUACGGGGAGCCUUGAGUACAGUGGAGGUAGGCGGAAUUCGGGGUGUAGCGGUGAAAUGCGUAGAUAUCAAGAAGAAAUCCGGUUGCGAAGGCAGCUUACUAAACUGCCACUGACAUUGAUGCUCGAAAGUGUGGGGAUCAAACAGGAUUAGAUAACCGAGUAGGC